UACGUAGGGCGCAAGCGUUAUCCGGAAUUAUUGGGCGUAAAGAGCUCGUAGGCGGUUUGUCGCGUCUGCCGUGAAAGUCCGGGGCUCAACUCCGGAUAUGCGGUGGGUACGGGCAGACUAGAGUGAUGUAGGGGAGACUGGAAUUCCUGGUGUAGCGGUGAAAUGCGCAGAUAUCAGGAGGAACACCGAUGGCGAAGGCAGGUCUCUGGGCAUUAACUGACGCUGAGGAGCGAAAGCAUGGGGAGCGAACAGG
rnacentral:rRNA from 1 species